rnacentral:lncRNA from 1 species
GUUUUCGGAGGGGAAACCAGGAAAGGGGAUAACAUUUGAAAUGUAAAUAAAGAAAGUGCCUAAUGAAAAAUAAAAUUAAAAAAAAAAGAACCAGUGCAUUGGAUGUUGAUAAAAUGUGCACCCCUGAGUCUCCGCCCAACCUGCUGGAUCUGACUUCCUGGGGCUGCCUGAGACCCAGAAAUCUUUGAUUUACAGAGGCCGUUUCCAUGCUGAAGGUUCUCCACUCCCAGGAUGUUCAUUUGGCUCAUAGUUGUGCCAGGAUAUAGGGCUCUAAGGUUGCUAAUCUUUUCCCACUGAUAAUUUUGGAAAUAUUUCAUCCUAAAAAUAGUGCUUGAUAAGAAAAGUUGCAAAGAUGCUGGGAUAAGAGUUAUUGCCCAAGCAAGGUUUUGGGGGUGGUAGUGGUGGGAUUUCUCCUAUUUGUGUUUGAAUUACACUCGGAUUCCUCUGGGUUUAGCCAGAGAACUCCCUGCUUGAUGGAAGAGUGGAAGAGAGUCACUUUGCAUUAUAGUGUUGGUUCAUAUAAAAAUGUUAAAUUGUAACACAAAAAGGACUGAGAGUUUAUAGAUUCUUCCAAUCCCGGUCUCUAAUACUCUAUAAUGCAUAAUAGUUGUGUGUGUCUGUGUGUAUCUGAUUAUCAGAUUUAAUGUAAACCAGCAGGACUUUGCCAGAGGCCUCCUAGGAGGAAGGCGGCAAAGGCAGUGUAUCUCAGUGUUACAGUCAACCUGUACAGCAUGUGGGGUUCCUGCAAGAUCUCAUCUUCUGCUUCUGGUGUCUUUUUCAUUUGUUUGUUUGUUUUUUAGAAAUAGCCAUGGUCUCUGUUUUAUAAAGAUGCGUUUCUGGUGCUUUACCGCCUGAGCCUGGGCCCUGUAGCCGGAUGAGCGGCUUUCUUUACUCUCUCCUUGGGUGGAGGGCAGGAGUGCAGAUGUUGGCUGUGAGCCUGUGCCAAAGCACAUCCUGUUUGUCCAGAUGCUUUGUACCCUUCUCCAUCCCUCGGGCCUUCCAUUCAGCGGGUGAUAAUUUAAGAUACAAACAGAAGUCUCCCUCUUUCUCCAAAUCAGAUGAAACAGCUCUGUGCAGACUGGGGAUAACAUUUACUGUGCUCCUGCCAGAGGGAGGUUUUCAUGAAGAAAAUCUAUUAUAUUAUCUUAGUUCUUUGCCCUCCUGCCUUUUCUUUCUUCCUUCCUUCCUUCCUUCCUUCCUUCCUUCCUUCCUUCCUUUCUUCCUUUCUUCCUUUCUUCCUUUCUUUUUGUUUUGGUAAGGUCUCACUAUGUAGCCCAGUCUGACCUCCAACAUGAUAUCCUCCUCUAGCCUCCUGAAUGCUGAGAUAACAAGUGUGUGUGUCACCAUAUCCCAACUUAAAGACCCUUUGAAUAUGGGAAAUACAUGUAUAUGUUAAUUUGAAUAUUUAAAUUUUGAUCAAUUUUACAUGGAGUGGAACAUUAAUAGCCCAGGCUUAAACGUUCUUAGGUCCGAAUAGAUGGCUUUAAAAGGAACCGUUUUACUUCUUUCACCAAGGCUUCCCAGCAAUGAGGGGUGACCUGGGUGAUGGUCAUUUAGACUUCCUCGUGGAUCACUACACUGAAAUGGGCUGUGUACAGAUAGUGUAAGUCACAGGAUGGGGAAGGUAGGUCAGGCAGCCCAGUGACAUGCCCAGUUAACAACUAUGCAUCGCUAUCAUGGGACUUCCUGAAAGAAACCUGAAAUGUUAUCCUGACAAAUAACUACAGUCAUGUGCUCACUUGAGUUAGAGGGAAACCGAGAUGGGAGAGGUGUGCCUUUUUGUGGUUUGAUCAUGUGGAUGUUGAAAAGUAUACUCACACAAACCAAGAUGAGUGCACAUAUCAGUAGGGGGCAUACUAAGGGACCACAGUUUUAUAUGUGGCUUGCCGCUGAUGGAAAUAUCAUUGUGGGACACUUGGGUGUGUGAGGCGAUGGAGACAUCGGUUGCAUUGAGAUGGUCAUGGGGCAUCAUGUACACUCUAACUUUUCAUUUGUUAGCUAUGAAACCAGAAACAUCCAUCCACAUACAACAGAGUUGCAUCUGUCCAGAGUUGAACAUAAAUUCUCAAACUUCCUAUCAUGGUUGGAUCUGAGUUUGUUAACAGAUAUCUUGAGGGUUUUUAAAUUGACUUUGCAAACGUCAGCUGGCCAAGAGUAGUGAGUAGCCCGCCGACGGCCUUGGGUGUUCUAAGGUCUAUGUUGAUGCUUUUUGAUCUGAACUUCUCACACAUGGUACAUCUUCCGUUCUACUGUGCAGUUAAGUGCAAGUAAUAGAAUAGUCUUCCUAUUUCUUUAAAAUAGUGUACUCUUUUGCAUUAAUAUAGGAAUAUUUGAAAAGGCACAUUGCUGAAGGUGAAAUGUUUGAGGCCACAAACUAGAUCCUUCCAGAAAAGCCUUGGGUAAAAAAAAAAAAAAAAAAAAAAAAAAAAAGUUAAUUUUGGAGCUGGGGACAUAGGUCAGUGGUAGAGCCUAGUACAUAUGUGGCGCAGAGUUUGAGCCCCAGAUUGCC